rnacentral:rRNA from 1 species
GACGAAUGCCGGCUGCGUGCUUAACACAUGCAAGUCGAACGGUGAACCAGGGCUUGCCCUGGGGAUCAGUGGCGAACGGGUGAGUAACACGUGGGCAACCUGCCCCUCACUCUGGGAUAACUCCGGGAAACCGGGGCUAAUACCGGAUAUGACCUGGUGCGACAUCACACCAGGUGGAAGAAUUUCGGUGAGGGAUGGGCCCGCGGCCUAUCAGCGAGUUGGUGGGGUAACGGCCCACCAAGGCGACGACGGGUAGCCGGCCUGAGAGGGCGACCGGCCACACUGGGACUGAGACACGGCCCAGACUCCUACGGGAGGCAGCAGUGGGGAAUAUUGCGCAAUGGGCGAAAGCCUGACGCAGCGACGCAGCGUGAGGGACGACGGCCUUCGGGUUGUAAACCUCUUUCAGCGGGGACGAAGCGAAAGUGACGGUACCCGCAGAAGAAGCACCGGCUAACUACGUGCCAGCCGCCGCCGUAACAC